AGAGUUUGAUCCUGGCUCAGAUUGAACGCUGGCGGCAUGCCUUACACAUGCAAGUCGAACGGCAGCACGGGAGCAAUCCUGGUGGCGAGUGGCGAACGGGUGAGUAAUAUAUCGGAACGUACCUUUCAGUGGGGGAUAACGUAGCGAAAGUUACGCUAAUACCGCAUAUUCUGUGAGCAGGAAAGCAGGGGAUCUUAGGACCUUGCGCUGAUUGAGCGGCCGAUAUCAGAUUAGCUAGUUGGUGAGGUAAAGGCUCACCAAGGCGACGAUCUGUAGCGGGUCUGAGAGGAUGAUCCGCCACACUGGAACUGAGACACGGUCCAGACUCCUACGGGAGGCAGCAGUGGGGAAUUUUGGACAAUGGGGGCAACCCUGAUCCAGCCAUGCCGCGUGAGUGAAGAAGGCCUUCGGGUUGUAAAGCUCUUUCAGCCGGGAAGAAAACGCAUGGGUUAAUACCCUGUGUGGAUGACGGUACCGGAAUAAGAAGCACCGGCU
rnacentral:rRNA from 1 species